UACGUAGGGUGCGAGCGUUAAUCGGAAUUACUGGGCGUAAAGCGUGCGCAGGCGGUUUUGUAAGCCAGAUGUGAAAUCCCCGGGCUUAACCUGGGAAUGGCAUUUGGGACUGCAAGGCUUGAGUGCGGCAGAGGAGACUGGAAUUCCUGGUGUAGCAGUGAAAUGCGUAGAUAUCGGGAGGAACACCAGUAGCGAAGGCGGCACUCUGGGCCGGUACUGACGCUGAGGAGCGAAAGCGUGGGGAGCGAACAGG
rnacentral:rRNA from 1 species